UACGUAGGUCCCGAGCGUUGUCCGGAUUUAUUGGGCGUAAAGCGAGCGCAGGUGGUUUAUUAAGUCUGGUGUAAAAGGCAAUGGCUCAACCAUUGUAUGCAUUGGAAACUAGUAGACUUGAGUGCAGGAGAGGAGAGUGGAAUUCCAUGUGUAGCGGUGAAAUGCGUAGAUAUAUGGAGGAACACCGGUGGCGAAAGCGGCUCUCUGGCCUGUAACUGACACUGAGGCUCGAAAGCGUGGGGAGCAAACAGG
rnacentral:rRNA from 1 species